UGCACCCAUUGUCUAAUGGUUUAGGACAUCUCUCUUUCAAGAAGGCAGCGGGGGUUCGACUUCCCCUGGUGUAG